rnacentral:lncRNA from 1 species
AGUCAAAAGCUGCAAGCUAAGCAUUUUGGAUAAAAAAUGUGGUAUUGUAAUGCUUACGAUUGAUUGAUUUUUCCAACAAGAAACUAGCUGCACAGAGGUAGUCAUGUGCCUCUUCAUCCAACAUUUCUUACUGAACUCCUUCUAUUGUAAAAGUUCACACUUGACGUCAUUUCAAAUGUAAUGUAAGUUUGGACUCUCACACUGUAACUUUUCCAUAUUACUAUUCUAUUUGUUACUCCCUAAAGCCGACUCUCUUUUUACAUUGAAAGCUCAUGUUUAA